UACGUAGGGUGCGAGCGUUGUCCGGAAUUAUUGGGCGUAAAGAGCUCGUAGGCGGUGUGUCACGUCGGCCGUGAAAACCUGCAGCUUAACUGUGGGCGUGCGGUCGAUACGGGCAUCACUGGAGUUCGGCAGGGGAGACUGGAAUUCCUGGUGUAGCGGUGAAAUGCGUAGAUAUCUGGAGGAACACCGGUGGCGAAGGCGGCAUCCUGGACCGGUAUUGACGCUGAGGCGCGAAAGCUAGGGGAGCAAACGGG
rnacentral:rRNA from 1 species